rnacentral:rRNA from 1 species
UACGAAGGGGGCUAGCGUUGUUCGGAAUUACUGGGCGUAAAGCGCGCGCAGGCGGUCUUCCAAGUCAGUGGUGAAAGCCCGGAGCUCAACUCCGGAACUGCCAUUGAAACUGUUGGACUUGAGUACGAGAGAGGUGAAUGGAAUUCCCAGUGUAGAGGUGAAAUUCGUAGAUAUUGGGAAGAACACCGGUGGCGAAGGCGGCUCACUGGCUCGUAACUGACGCUCAGGCGCGACAGCGUGGGGAUCAAACAGG